GCUUAACGCUUUUGGCGUGCCUAACUCUUUCAAGUCGAGCGAACAGACUACUAGCUUCCUCCUCUCACCUUAGCUGCCGCCCCGCGUGUUACACUUUGAUAACCUACCUCUAAGCCUGGGCCUACUUCCCCAACCCGUUGCUAAUCCCGGAUAAUCUGUUUACCCGCAUGCUUCAAUUUUAAAAUACGCUUUUCCUGUCACUUAUACAUGGAUCCUCGCCGCAUUACCUAGUUUGUCAGGUAACGGUUUACCAAGGCGACGAUGCGUAGCCGACCUGAGAGGGUGAUCGGCCACACGGGAACUGAGACACGGUCCAGACUCCUACGGGAGGCAGCAGUAGGGAAUCUUCCGCAAUGGGCGAAAGCCUGACGGAGCAACGCCGCGUGAGUGAUGAAGGUAAUAGGAUAGUAAAACACUGUUAUUAGGGAAGAACAAAUGUGUAAGUAACUAUGCACGUCUUGACGGUACCUAAUCAGAAAGCCACGGCUAACUACGUG
rnacentral:rRNA from 1 species